rnacentral:lncRNA from 1 species
ACACACACACUGUCAAGCACACACACUAAGCGCGUUAAACUCUCUAUAAAGGCAUUUGCUUGGUAUUGGGUUUCAAUAUCUAGUUUUGUACCCAGCUCUCUUGAGGGUUGUGGAGUGUAGCUAGUAUUGAACAUGGAGAUCAAUUAUGCUCUGGCAUUGCUCUUAGUCCUCAUUCUCAACUUGGGUAGUUUGCUCACUUCUCUUGCUAACUCCUAUUGCCCACCACCAACAUACCCUCCAGUUCCUCACUUGCCACCCAAACACCCUCCCCAUGUAACUCCACCCUUCCACCCUAAACCACCAAAGAAGCCACCACCAUAUGUCAAACCACCUCAUGCAAAGCCUCCUCCUCAUGUACCAAUCAAACCCCCUCAUGUUAAACCACCCAUUGUAAAACCACCUCCUUAUCCGAAACCUCCAGUUGCCAAACCACCUCCCCAUCCCAAACCUCCUGUUGUCAAACCACCUCCCCAUCCCAAACCUCCUGUUGUCAAACCACCUCCCCAUCCCAAACCUCCUGUUGUCAAACCACCUCCCUAUCCCAAACCUCCUGUUGUCAAACCACCUCACCUAUCCCAAACCUCCUGUUGUCAAACCACCCUCCCUAUCCCAAACCUCCUGUUGUCAAACCACCUCCCUAUCCCAAACCUCCUGUUGUCAAACCACCUCACCAUCCCAAGCCUCCUGUUGUCAAACCACCUCCCCAUCCCAAACCUCCUGUUGUCAAGCCUCCAGUUGUCAAACCACCUCCCCAUCCCAAACCACCAGUUGUACUGCCUCCACCAUAUACCCCGAAGCCCCGGUUGUACUGCCUUCCACCAUAUACCCCGAAGCCCCCGGUUGUGCUGCCUCCACCAUAUACCCCGAAGCCCCCGGUUGUGGCCUCCACCAUAUCCCCCGAACCCCCCCGGUGUAUGUGCUGCCUCCACCAUAUACCCCGAAGCCCCCGGUUGUACUGCCUCCACCAUAUACCCCGAAGCCCCCGGUUGUACUGCCUCCACCAUAUACCCCGAAGCCCCCGGUUGUACUGCCUCCACCAUAUACCCCGAAGCCCCCGGUUGUACUGCCUCCACCAUAUACCCCGAAGCCCCCAGUUGUACUGCCUCCACCAUAUACCCCCAAGCCCCCAGUUGUA